AUUGAACGCUGGCGGCAGGCCUAACACAUGCAAGUCGAACGACUGGCGGAAGGGUAAGUAAUGUCUGAGCUACUGCACACUGGGGGGGGAUACUUACUAGAUACGGCAGCUAACACCGAAUACCAUAGGCUGUCCCCAGAUGGGAUUAGCUAGUGGGUGGGGUAAAGGCUCACCUAGGCGACGAUGCCUAGCUGGGCUGAGAGGAUGACGAGCCACACUGGAGGGGAGACACGGUCCAGACGCCUACGGUAGGGAGCAGUGGGGAAUAUUGCACAGUGGGCGCGAGCCUGAUGCAACCAUGCCGCGUGUAUGAAGAAGGCCUUCGGGUUGUAAAGUACUUUCAGCGGGGGGGCGUUACCCGCAGAAGAAGCACCGGCUAACUCCGUGCCAGCAGCCGCGGUAAUUC
rnacentral:rRNA from 1 species